GGACUACUAGGGUUUCUAAUCCUGUUUGCUCCCCACGCUUUCGCUCCUCAGUGUCAGUAAUGGCCCAGAGACCUGCCUUCGCCAUUGGUGUUCCUCCUGAUAUCUGCGCAUUCCACCGCUACACCAGGAAUUCCAGUCUCCCCUACCACACUCCAGUCCGACCGUAUCGAAUGCAGGUCUGGGGUUAAGCCCCAGAUUUUCACAUCCGACGUGACGAACCACCUACGAGCUCUUUACGCCCAAUAAUUCCGGACAACGCUUGCACCCUAUGUAUUACCGCGGCUGCUGGCACC
rnacentral:misc_RNA from 1 species